rnacentral:lncRNA from 1 species
GUGUUUAAAAAAGUCACUCUAGAUGCUAUGGUGAAUAGACUACAGAGGAAAAAGGAAGGAAGCAGGGUGGUCCAUUUCUAUAACGCAGGGCAUGCAAGCUGCAAAGAUAGAGCCGAAAAAGUGAUUUCGUUAAGCGCUCUAUAGAUUUCGGCAGAGCAAAAUAGCACAUCAAAUACAUGACGAUGGACACAUUUUCAGAGCGGCCAUGAAAGGCUGAAUGAUUGUCAGGAAAUCACCAUGUCCUGAACCUGAGGCUGAGAGCCACAGAAGAGAUUAAGGACCAGGCAGACUUCCCCCAGCACCUCCCUUUAGGACCUGCAGAAUGCCUGCUUCCCGGACAACAGAUCACGGUGAGAGGAAAUGCUUUGACUUAAACUCUAGACCUGAGCCCUCACUAGCAGUUCAAGACAAAUAAAAACACCUUCAAAAGAGCCCAGGUAUCUG